GGCCUAAUCAAGCUGGUCAUGGCAUGCCUAUCUCAAAAGAGGGCAAGGAACUUUAGCCGGUGGCAAUGUCGGACUCACAGAAAAGUCACCAAACAGCGAGACUCAAGGCUACAGCUCAACUUGCGGUGAGGACGACACUAACUUCAGUGUGAACGCCCAUCUAGCCCAACUUGGAAUGUCUAGGAAUGUAAUUAUGCAAGUCUGAAUUUUCACUGUUGGCUGGAAAGUCUGUCAACGAGGUGGACAGCAGCAGGAAGCAAAGACCUGGUUCUAUCUUUCAUGCUGCCAGUGAACGUACGGCGAAUGCAAGCAGACAGACCCAAGAGAAAACAGCCGAGCUGCAAAAUAGAUCAUUGUUUUCCGUUAGGACACCCUGACCGACAGGCCACGAUCAAGCGUAAUGGAGAGAUGCAAGCAUUGGCACCUGCCCUCUCAAGCCGGAUUUUUCAAGCCCAGCAUGGUGCACCUCUAUUGUUGGCACAUCAGUGCCAACAGUAGAGGCAUUAGGAGAUGAGGACAGGCCAGUGCUAUAAUUCUUCCCAGUCCAUUAGCUGUAAUUAGGGUUCUGCGUUCUCAGAUAAACCUGAUAAACUCCAAAAAACACUAGCCGUUAAAAUUUUGCUGAUUCAGAUUCAUUUGAAAAACUCAAUUUUUCGGUCCCCCACCAGUCUUUAUAUUUCCCGGAAUCUUCGAACAAUUUUUGCAAUUCUCCUCUUAUUGCAGUGUCAACUUCCGUUGCCAUGUAGCCCCUUAUAAUAAAAAUGAGGUAGGCCCUCUACGACAGUAGAUGAAUACGGCGCUCUCAUAUGAAAAUACUGCUUUACUAAAUUCACAAAGUGCUGUUUUCUACCUUUCAUUUGCCUCAUCGAAAAUGCCGAAAGACUCCGAACUUUGCGUACAUAAAUGGAAGCUCCAAAUUGAUGGUUCAAAAAAACAAAACAAAAAAAAACACCCUCUAAUUUUGCUAAAAAAAAAAAUUAAAUUCAAGAACGCAGGAUCCUAGCUAUAAUUUGUGCAAGCUUUCAAGAUCGAGGAAAUCGGUGACCGUAUUGUCAUAUUCAUUGUGGGCACACCACAAUGAAGGCGGAUCAAGUGCUAUUUUGAAUAGCAUGUAGUUCUGCACCAGAGAUCCCAUCCCCAGUUCACAAGCUUAGCCCAUCGCAGCAGUUUUAGAAAAUUGAAGUAUUUUCGGAACCCAACCGACACUUUUCUGAAGACUGUAACACAAUGCCUUAUCCAUCUUUCUUUUCAUGUGCUGAUGAGCGGACAUGCUGUGGAGACUGCACCGAGGCGGGGCAGCCCGCCCGUGUUUCCAAUAAAUGGGGUUUUCAUCCAGGAGGUAGGCUGGUAAUGCAGCAAUAACAUAAGUGGGGUGGUUGCAUAUAACACUGGAAAUAUUAACAGAAGUUUUUUAUGGCAAUUUAAAAACAGUGCUGCAUUUUCCAGUCUACACCACAGUUUUCCCCCCGUCUGCAA
rnacentral:lncRNA from 1 species